UGAGUUUAAUUAAAAGGUCUUCUUUCUUCUUUGAUAAUUAAGUAAUUUUGGGGAAAAUGUACAUCACUUGGCAAGCCGGCAUCCUAAACUAUAUAAUUUAUUGAUUGAAUACCACCAACUUUUUUCCACAAGAAAAAUCAAGAUUAGGAGCAACGACACUUAUAACACGAAGGUGAACAACACUGUUUGAGCAUGAAAUACUAUUUUAUUAUACUUGUAAUGUA
rnacentral:lncRNA from 1 species